GUAGUGUCUCUGUUGCCCAGGCUGGAAUGCAGUGGUGCAAACAUGGCUCACUACAGCCUCAACCUCCUGGCCUCAAGCGAUCCUCCUGCCUCCACUUCCUGAGUAACUUUGGUCACAGAGACACGGUUUCCCUAUGUUGCCCAGGCUGGUCUUGAACUCCUGGUCUCAAGUGAUCCUCCUGCCUUGGCAAAAUGCUGGGAUUACAGAGCUGCCGGCUUCCCCUUGAAGGAAUAGGAGUAGACCUGCUGAACUAUCACAUGAGAGAAGAGGCCCAAAAGCUUGCACACUACAGUCAAGCUGGCCCUUAAAGAGAUGGACCUAGAAGAUGCUGAGCCAGAUGUACUCAAUUACUUCUCCAAAAUUCAUCAAUUAGGAAUACAACAUGUUUAAGACCACAGAACAUCUGCAUAGGCUGUAAAUUUCGUUGAAUGAUGGAUGCAAAGAUGGAAGACAGAUGGAUAGAGGAAAAGACAGAAUCAGAUACUGGAUGAGUUAGUACUGCUGCCUGUGCUUCAGAGCUGUCUUAUUACCACAAGGCCGGCAAGCAUCAAUGUCCCCACAUCCCCCUCUGCCUCCCCCUGAAAUGUACCGAUUUAUAUGAAAAUUAAGAUUACAAAUUAAAGCCUGGCUAUCCUGGAGUUUUCCAGUUCAUCAGCCAUCCAAUAAAAAUGAUGUCAAGCCUGUAUGCAUAAUUCCCGGAAGAUUACUUUCGUCCUUACAGCUAAGCCCUGUCCCUGAUAUGAAAGAUCUCUAUCCACUUUUAUUGAAAUAAAGAACUAACAUCAUAAUCCCAAUAUUGAGGUAUAAUCUUCAUUAUCUCCUGACCCUCUUGAGGUUCCCCCAAUCUAUAUUACUUCAGAUUUGGUUUAUGUGUAAUCCUUAUGUAUUUACUUUUAUUGAGAUAGGAUUAAAAACUAAAAAAAAAGCUUCAA
rnacentral:lncRNA from 10 species